GAAACAAGUGUCCCUAUAGCGUCGCAUUAUCUAAAUGGACAAGUACCCGACUCCCAUCCAUGCAAGAGUCCUACUGCAGGCUCUACUUCUUCUUCUCAUAUGUCAUGCUACUACUACACAAUGUCGAAUCAUCGAUGGCAUCGAUACGGAGAAGAUCAAGUUACACGGGUUGUGCGUUUUAGACAAACCAGUCCUUGGUGACUACUGUUGCAAAGUGACGAAUCAGUGUUACAUAGACCUUCAGUCAUGCCUUGCUGAGUGCAACAAACCUGCAGGCAUGGUGGCGAUGGCAACCCCUCCUUCACCGACCCUAUUCCCGUCAAAUUGAACUUUCUUAUUGGAUAAAUAAUGUGUGGUGUGCGAAAAAAUAUUUGCAAUAAAAAGAAGUAUCUCUGUUGUCGUUA